rnacentral:lncRNA from 1 species
UCUGUUAUAUAUGGUAACUAAAAGUUACAUGGUCUCAAUUAUAGUGACUAAAAGGUGAGGAGCUGUGGCUGUGCGUUUCAUAAUUGUUAAUGGUUCACAAAACUGAUAACAAAUGCAAACUUUCCAAUUCAAAAGUUGAACCGAGUACAGGGUCGCACCGACUACCAAUGGAGGGUUCAGUCAGUGUCAGACACACACACGAUGAAAUGGAAUUUCACCAUUCACCGACAAUCCUUGAUCAAGACACUUAUUAAAAUCAUUGACAAUGGCACGCAUGAAGUGUUCAAUGGUGGUUAACCAGUCGCAGUCACUGGUUAACGCUGUUACAAAGGAAUGCACAAAGUGUUCAAUUGCGAUCACUGGUGCCCGAUGGGCACAGAGCACAAGCUACCAGAGUGGUGCCCUUGGCUCGGGGGGCCAACCGGUGGUGCAGUAGACGUGGUCAUCUGCUCAUGCAUUUCGUCAAACAUUUGGUUUCCACAAAUGGACAAGCUAUAGGCGCCUCUUGCGUCUAUGCACGCGCAUCAUGCUUGCAUGAGUCCUCUUUCUCCGUUGUUGGAGGAGCACAACUAUAGAAGAUGUUAAAUGACUGCUCUUUCAAUUCUUCUUCAAAUGGUUCACUCUUUCUAUAAUAAUAGAAAACCAAUAUACCAUAAAUCUACAAUUUUGACGGAUAUUAUUUGAAAAUAACACAUAAUUUUGUUCAACUUUAAAGUAAUAACCCUUUUUUUUUUUUCUUUUCUUUACUUAUCCACAAAAUAACAUAUUUUCUUUUACUUUAUUGGAAUAGGGCACAUUGUCCCCUCUCUCCCGCUCGAAAGGGUGGCGAUGGAUCUGGCAAGCUCUAAGCCGGUUUGGCCCUUAUGCUUAUAAUUCUACCCAGGUUUGGCCCGACCCCAUAUGGCUAGGGUCGGGCCAAGUUGGGCGGUAUUUGACUUAGCCCAGUCCAAGAGCUAUAGUUUGUGGCUUAACAACCCUGGCUGGGCCGCCUGAUCCAGUUUUCUCUCUACGUGACGAGAUUCUACCCCGAGAGAGAAGCAAUAGAAGGAAAAAUAUGUUUAAAAUUUG